rnacentral:rRNA from 1 species
UACGGAGGGGGCUAGCGUUGUUCGGAAUUACUGGGCGUAAAGCGCACGUAGGCGGAUUGGAAAGUUGGGGGUGAAAUCCCGGGGCUCAACCCCGGAACUGCCUUCAAAACUCCCAGUCUGGAGGUCGAGAGAGGUGAGUGGAAUUCCGAGUGUAGAGGUGAAAUGCGCAGAUAUCAGGAGGAACACCGGUGGCGAAGGCGGGUCUCUGGGACGGUAUUGACGCUAAGGCGCGAAAGCGUGGGGAGCAAACAGG